CAGCCGCCGCGGUAAUACGUAGGGUGCAAGCGUUAAUCGGAAUUACUGGGCGUAAAGCGUGCGCAGGCGGUUCGGAAAGAAAGGUGUGAAAUCCCAGGGCUUAACCUUGGAACUGCACUUUUAACUACCGGGCUAGAGUGUGUCAGAGGGGGGUGGAAUUCCGCGUGUAGCAGUGAAAUGCGUAGAGAUGCGGAGGAACACCGAUGGCGAAGGCAGCCCCCUGGGAUAACACUGACGCUCAUGCACGAAAGCGUGGGGAGCAAACAGGAUUAGAUACCCGAGUAGUCCCUGUCUCUUAUAC
rnacentral:rRNA from 1 species